rnacentral:tRNA from 1 species
ACCUGGCUGGCUCAAUCGGUAGAGCAUGUGACUCUUGAUCUUGGGGUUGUGAGUUCAAGCCCCAUGUUGGAUC